UACGUAGGGUGCAAGCGUUGUCCGGAAUUAUUGGGCGUAAAGAGCUCGUAGGCGGUCUGUUGCGUCGGCUGUGAAAACCCGGGGCUCAACUCCGGGCCUGCAGCCGAUACGGGCAGACUAGAGUUCGGCAGGGGGAGACUGGAAUUCCUGGCGUAGCGGUGAAAUGCGCAGAUAUCAGGAGGAACACCGGUGGCGAAGGCGGGUCUCUGGGCCGAUACUGACGCUGAGGAGCGAAAGCGUGGGGGAGCGAACAGG
rnacentral:rRNA from 1 species